CAGAUCCCAGAAAGAAGAAAAAUCCAGACAGAUCCACAAAAGAUAGAUCCAGAGAUUCAACGUAACUUCAAGCAAAAACCCAGCAGUUCCACAAAACUUCACAAGCUCACAAAAAUGUACGUUAAAAAACAAAGAUCCUAAGAAGAGUCAAGAUAGUCCGGAAGAAGAACAAGGGAGAGAAUGUGCUGUUCAGGCCGACGUGAGGAUCCAAUCUACUACACAGUUACGUGCCAUGAUGUAAAUUAAUAAAUUCGUAUUC